GACGAAUGCUGGCGGCGUGCCUAACACAUGCAAGUCGAGCGGGGAUUUAAGUGGAAGUUCUUCGGAAUGGAGAUUUAAAUUCUAGCGGCGGACGGGUGAGUAACGCGUGAACAAUCUGUCCCGGACAGGGGGAUAACACUUGGAAACAGGUGCUAAUACCGCAUAAGACCACGGCCUCGCAUGGGGCUGAGGUAAAAGGAGCAAUCCGGUUCGGGGUGAGUUCGCGUCCGAUUAGCUAGUUGGUGAGGUAACGGCCCACCAAGGCGACGAUCGGUAGCCGGCCUGAGAGGGUGAACGGCCACAUUGGAACUGAGAGACGGUCCAAACUCCUACGGGAGGCAGCAGUGGGGAAUAUUGGGCAAUGGGCGAAAGCCUGACCCAGCAACGCCGCGUGAGGGAAGAAGGUUUUCGGAUUGUAAACCUCUGUCCUAUGGGACGAAGGAAGUGACGGUACCAUAGGAGGAAGCCCCGGCUAACUACGUG
rnacentral:rRNA from 1 species